rnacentral:rRNA from 1 species
UGCCUACGGGACGCAGCAGUGAGGAAUAUUGGUCAAUGGGCUUACGCCUGAACCAGCCAAGUCGCGUGAGGGAAGACUGCCCUAUGGGUUGUAAACCUCUUUUGUCAGGGAGCAACGCCGGCUACGUGUAGCCGGACUGAGAGUACCUGAAGAAAAAGCAUCGGCUAACUCCGUGCCAGCAGCCGCGGUAAUACGGAGGAUGCGAGCGUUAUCCGGAUUUAUUGGGUUUAAAGGGCGUGUAGGCGGGACUGCAAGUCAGAUGUGAAAACCAUGGGC